rnacentral:hammerhead_ribozyme from 1 species
AUCCAACUGACGAGUCCCAACUGGGACAAAAUGCUCGUCAAACUGGAU